rnacentral:sRNA from 1 species
UCGCUGCUGCUGGGCAACUCCAUCCUCGUGGACCUGCUGGGUGAGCCUCCCGGGAUUGCGGUGGGCCACAUCUACUACUUCCUGCAGGACGUCUUCCCCAACCAGCCCGGAGGCAAGAGGCUCCUGCAGACCCCUGGCUUCCUAAAGCUGCUCCUGGAUGCCCCUGCAGAAGACCCCAAUUACCUGCCCCUCCCUGAGGAACAGCCAGGACCCCAUCUGCCACCCCCGCAGCAGUGACCCCACCCAGGGCCAGGCCUAAGAGGCUUCUGGCAGCUUCCAUCCUACCCAUGACCCCUACUUGGGGCAGAAAAAACCCAUCCUAAAGGCUGGGCCCAUGCAAGGGCCCACCCGAAUAAACAGAAUGAGCUGCA